rnacentral:lncRNA from 1 species
GGCAACCCUCUGGGGUCCCCUUGCACGCUGUGGAAGCUUUAUUGUUUCACUCUUUGCAAUAAAUCUUGCUGCUGCUCACUCUUUGGGUCCACACUGCCUUUAUGAGCUGUAACACUCACGAUGAAGUUCUGCAGCUUCACUCCUGAAGCCAGCGACACCACAAACCCACCAGGAGGAAGGAACAACUCCAGAUGCACCUCCUUAAGAGCUGUGACACUCACCGCGAAGGUCCGCAGCUUCACUCCUGAGCCGGCGAGACCACGAACCCCACCAGAAGGAAGAAACUCUGAACACCUCCGAACAUCAGAAGGAACAAACUCUGGACACGCUGCCUUUAGGAACUGUAACACUCACCGCGAGGGUCCCCGGCUUCAUUCUUGAAGUCAGUGAGACCAAAAUCCCACCAAUUCUGGACACACUAGGAAGACUGAGACCCAAUUGGACCAUCAAAGAACGACCCAAUCACCAGCACAAAGCUAAUAAACUUGUAAGCUUUCAAUACAAAUAACGUUGGAACAUAGCUAGGAAGACUUCAGGAGACAGAUUCUCUUUGCAGAGUCUCUGGGAGCCUUUCUCUCUACCAUGUGGAUGCCUGCAGAAGCCUGCACAGUCAUUCUGCCACAUGCACUGUGGAUACACAGCUGAUUUACAGCUGGGCUGAAAAAGCCUCAUCUCUGUUUCUGGGGAUUCCAGGAUAUCCUGUUUUUGACUCUUAGCUAAGACGGAAAAAGUGAUGCUCACGCCAGAGAAGAGUCAGCCCAAGGUCAUCUAGGAUCAGUGGCACACCUAGGAUUCAGGCCCAAGGACCCCCAGCUGACCUGCCUUCCCUGGAACCUCACUAAGUUGUGGUUCUCCUGCCCAGCCUGCUGCCACUGAGCCAUGCAGAUAUGCUGUCCAGCCCAUCACCAGUGAUUUGUAUGUAUAUUGGUUCUUCUGUUCAGCUCACUGCUGAACUGGACUCUCUCCUCUGCAGGUAAGCCCCCAAUAAAACCCCAUGUAUCAUUUAUUAGCUUGGAGUCUUCUCUUCAGCCUCUUGAAC